CCGCGCCCCCGUGAGAAUGCCCUUUACCUCCGGCAGGAAAAAAGGAGCAGGCAUCAGGCACGCACUCGCAGCCCAAAACGCCUUGCUUAGCCACACCCUCAAGGGAACUCAGCAGUGAUAGACAUUAAGCUAUGAGCGAAAGCUUGACUUAGUCAGGGCUAAAAGAGCCGGUAAAACUCGUGCCAGCCACCGCGGUUAUACGAGGGGCCCAAAUUGAAGCCAUACGGCGUAAAGUGUGAUUAGAGGACACCCUAUACUAAAACCAAACACCCCUUAUGCUGUCAUACGCCAUGGGGGACACGAAGCCCAACAACGAAAGUGGUUUUAAAACCCUUGAACUCACGACAGUUAAGAUACAAACUGGGAUUAGAUACCCCAUUAUGCUUUACCUUAAACCAAGGCAAUCCAUACACAAGUUUUGCCCGCCAGGGAACUACGAGCACUAGCUUAAAACCCAAAGGACUUGGCGGUGCCUCAAACCCACCUAGAGGAGCCUGUCCUAUAACCGAUAAUCCCCGUUAAACCUCACCCUUCUUUGUCAAUUCCGCCUAUAUACCGCCGUCGCCAGUUUACCUUGUGAAAGACCCACAGUAAGCCAAAUGGGCAACACCCAACACGUCAGGUCGAGGUGUAGCGAAUAGGAGGGGAAGAGAUGGGCUACAUUUUCUGAUACAGAACAUCACGAAGAAUGUAAUGAAAAAUACAUAACCGAAGGUGGAUUUAGCAGUAAAGAUAAAAAGA
rnacentral:rRNA from 1 species